rnacentral:rRNA from 1 species
UAGGGAAUCUUCCACAAUGGACGCAAGUCUGAUGGAGCAACGCCGCGUGAGUGAAGAAGGUUUUCGGACCGUAAAGCUCUGUUGUUGGUGAAGAAGGAUAGAGGUAGUAACUGGCCUUUAUUUGACGGUAAUCAACCAGAAAGUCACGGCUAACUACGUGCCAGCAGCCGCGGUAAUACGUAGGUGGCAAGCGUUGUCCGGAUUUAUUGGGCGUAAAGCGAGCGCAGGCGGAAGAAUAAGUCUGAUGUGAAAGCCCUCGGCUUAACCGAGGAAUUGCAUCGGAAACUGUUUUUCUUGAGUGCAGAAGAGGAGAGUAGAACUCCAUGUGUAGCGGUGGAAUGCGUAGAUAUAUGGAAGAAUACCAGUGGCGAAGGCGGCUCUCUGGUCUGCAACUGACGCUGAGGCUCGAAAGCAUGGGUAGCGAACAGGAUUAGAUACCCUGGUAGUCCAUGCCGCAAACGAUGAGUGCUAAGUGUUGGGAGGCUUCCGCCUCUCAGUGCUGCAGCUAACGCAUUAAGCACUCCGCCUGGGGGAGUACGACCGCAAGGUUGAAAC